rnacentral:snoRNA from 1 species
CCAAUGUGGAUACUCUGGGAGGUCACUCCCCCUGGGCUCUGUCCAGGUGGCAUAUAGGAGCUUAGGGCUCGGCCCCAGAGUGUGUAGUCCCUUCUCACAAUGUUGGAAAGAAGCUGGGCCUUGAGACUGUGACUCCAUAUUCCGAUGACUUCUCAAGAGUCCUUUGGGCAGUGACUGAGGAGGCAAACCAAGCAGGAAACAAUG